CCUACGGGCGGCUGCAGUGCGGAAUAUUGGUCAAUGGGCGCAAGCCUGAACCAGCCAAGUCGCGUGAGGGCUGACGGUCCUAUGGAUUGUAAACCUCUUUUGUCGGGGAGCAAGGCCCGCCACGUGUGGCGGGAAGGAGAGUACCCGAAGAAAAAGCAUCGGCUAACUCCGUGCCAGCAGCCGCGGUAAUACGGAGGAUGCGAGCGUUAUCCGGAUUUAUUGGGUUUAAAGGGUGCGUAGGCGGAAGGUUAAGUCAGCGGUAAAAUGUCGGUGCUCAACACCGGCCUGCCGUUGAAACUGGUCUUCUUGAGUGAGCGAGAAGUAUGCGGAAUGCGUGGUGUAGCGGUGAAAUGCAUAGAGAUCACGCAGAACUCCGAUUGCGAAGGCAGCAUACCGGCGCUCAACUGACGCUGAGGCACGAAAGCGUGGGGAUCGAACAGGAUUAGAUACCCCGGUAGUC
rnacentral:rRNA from 1 species